rnacentral:rRNA from 1 species
GACGUAGGGGGCGAGCGUUGUCCGGAAUUACUGGGCGUAAAGAGCACGUAGGCGGAACAUUAAGUCAGGUGUGAAAGACCGAGGCUCAACCUCGGGAUUGCACUUGAAACUGGAGUCCUUGAGGGCAGGAGAGGAAAGCAGAAUUCCUGGUGUAGCGGUGAAAUGCGUAGAAAUCAGGAGGAAUACCGGUGGCGAAGGCGGCUUUCUGGACUGACCCUGACGCUGAGGUGCGAAAGCGUGGGUAGCAAAC